AAUCCUCAAAACCCCUUUUCUUUCAUCGGAAUCGGGAUUUUGGACUUGGAGGUUCAAUGCUCGCUUUCUUGAGCGAAAGCGAGCUCCUCUUAAACGAAUUAGUGGGGUCCGCUUUGUCGAUCCUUGACGUGAUAAGAUGUUUCUACGUUUUGGACUUGGCACUGUUUUCUCCGCUUCUAACCGUCCCAUGGACAACGAUGGUGCUCCGGUCCUCGUCAUCUACUUGGCGGGAGGCUGGACCCACAAAACAAA
rnacentral:misc_RNA from 1 species